rnacentral:rRNA from 1 species
AAACUUAAAUGAAUUGACGGGGACCCGCACAAGCGGUGGAGCAUGUGGUUUAAUUCGAAGCAACGCGAAGAACCUUACCAGGUCUUGACAUCCUUUGACAAUCCUAGAGAUAGGACUUUCCCUUCGGGGACGAAAGUGACAGGUGGUGCAUGGUUGUCGUCAGCUCGUGUCGUGAGAUGUUGGGUUAAGUCCCGCAACGAGCGCAACCCUAUUGUUAGUUGCCAGCAUUCAGUUGGGCACUCUAAUGAGACUGCCGGUGACAAACCGGAGGAAGGUGGGGAUGACGUCAAAUCAUCAUGCCCCUUAUGACCUGGGCUACACACGUGCUACAAUGGAUGGUACAACGAGCAGCAAGACCGCGAGGUCAAGCGAAUCUCUUAAAGCCAUUCUCAGUUCGGAUUGCAGGCUGCAACUCGCCUGCAUGAAGCCGGAAUCGCUAGUAAUCGCGGAUCAGCACGCCGCGGUGAAUACGUUCCCGGGUCUUGUACACACCGCCCGUCACACCACGAGAGUUUGUAACACCCGAAGUCGGUGAGGUAACCUUUAUGGAGCCAGCCGCCUAAGGUGGGACAGAUGAUUGGGGUGAAGUCGUAACAAGGUAGCCGUAUCGGAAGGUGCGGCUGGAUCACCUCCUUUCUG